GCCUGGAUGGCUCAGUCGGUUAAGCGUCCGACUUUGGCUCAGGUCAUGAUCUCGUGGUUUGUGGGUUUGAGUCCCAUGUCAGGCU
rnacentral:tRNA from 1 species